CUGAGUACUACUACUCUCUACCCUUUGUGAACUAUUAUACCUGUUGCUUCGGCGGCGCCCGCGAGGGUGCCCGCCGGUCUCAUCAGAAUCUCUGUUUUCGAACCCGACGAUACUUCUGAGUGUUCUUAGCGAACUGUCA
rnacentral:misc_RNA from 1 species